AUUGAACGCUGGCGGCAUGCUUUACAUAUGCAAGUCGAACGGUAACAGGGAGCUUGCUCCGCUGACGAGUGGCGAACGGGUGAGUAAUGCGUCGGAACGUGCCGAGUAGUGGGGGAUAACGCAUCGAAAGGUGUGCUAAUACCGCAUACGUACUGAGGUAGAAAGUGGGGGACCUUCGGGCCUCACGCUAUUCGAGCGGCCGACGUCUGAUUAGCUAGUUGGUGAGGUAAAGGCUCACCAAGGCGACGAUCAGUAGCGGGUCUGAGAGGAUGAUCCGCCACACUGGGACUGAGACACGGCCCAGACUCCUACGGGAGGCAGCAGUGGGGAAUUUUGGACAAUGGGCGCAAGCCUGAUCCAGCCAUGCUGCGUGUCUGAAGAAGGCCUUCGGGUUGUAAAGGACUUUUGUCCGGGAGCAAAUGCCUGGUGUUAAUAGCACUGGGAGCUGAGAGUACCGGAAGAAUAAGCACCGGCUAACUACGUGCCAGCAGCCGCAGUAACAC
rnacentral:rRNA from 1 species